UUAGUGAUGGAGAUUUAUUGAAGCAUUCACAGGGAAAUAAGGAAGACAAAAACAGCUACACAGGCAGCCUCACAGAACAGAAACUUGAAAAUGGUUCAUGAUCCAAAGCAGCUCUAGAGCCUGGCUUAUCUUUUCACCCCCUCAGCUGCAGGCAUCUGUUGCUCCCUUCUCUAGUGCUUCCCAAAAUGGUGACUCAACUUCUUUCUGGCUGUAUUUAUACUCCUCCUACUGCUACUGACUACUUUCUCUCUGCUCUCUUCUUCGCUAGCCUAUGGCCUUCGGAGCCUCACAGCUUCUGGGCCUCCUGGCUCCUGCAGCUUCCUGGCUUCUGGGGCUUCAGUUCCAAUGGAUCCAGGGCUUCUCUGUGCUGUAACUUCUGCUUGCCUUGUAUAUCCUGCUGCCUCUUUGAUUCCUGUUGCCGUGCUGCCACACAGUUCCAGCUAUCUUGUGGCUCUUGCAGUCUCAUCGCUUCUGCUGCCUCGUGGAUCUUGUCUGUUCAAGCCUUCUGCUGCUUUGUGGAUCUCACAGAUUCAGGGUUUUGUUUCAUGGUUUCUGUUCCUCAUGGCUACUGCUACAUCAUGGCUCCUAUUGCUUCAUGGCUUGUGUGUCCUUCUGGCCCAUUGUCUUGCUGCUUCAUGGCUUCUGCUACCUUGUGGCCCCACAUUCUUAUGUCUCAUGGUUUCUGCAGCUUUCUCCUUGCUUUCACUGUUCAGUUUGACACCCCCUCAUCCACCACCACUUCUGCCUUGCUAAAUUCUAAUUAAUUGUUCUCUUCUUUCAAAUGCCUCAAAUUUGGCCUCCCUGAAAAAGGAUCUGAUUGUUUCAUACAAUUGCCAUUUGACACAAGCCAUCCCUAGGAAGUAGAGUUCUUAUGUCAGUCGACCUAACAGGCCACUAGCCAGCCUAGAAACUGGCUGUCCUUGAGUAAGAUGCUACCCGACUUAAACAUCUGUGGCCAGGAUUGUGAGGUCACAUGGUACAGAGCAUGGCGACUCAUGCUUAAGAAACCCUUUAGAAGGGACUGUGGGCAUGGCAGGUCUGCUGAAGGCUUCCAGAAGGGGGCAGUGUAAUUGGCAAGCUUCUUGUUGGCCUGUCCAGUACAUCGACCUUCAGGGCCAACAACCUAAGUCCUACCUUCUCCCUGGCCUCCUCUGCCUGUCUUGAUCUGCAAUGGGAGAAAUCAAAGCUCUAGGGAUGAUGUGGAAAGAGAACCUAGGUUCCAGUUCUGGCUCCAACACUUCCUAGUAGUGGGGCCUUGGGCAAGUUCCUUCCCCUCUGAGUCUCAGGAAGGGGUUGGACAAAGUCUGUAAGUUCCCUUACAGGCCUGACAUCUGGGCAUCUCCCUUUAGGUUACUGUAUAUAAGGGACAUGAGUUGUAUCUGGGGAAUCCCUCAAAAACAUCUGAGGUAGGAAAGAAGGAGUCAGAGUCCUGGCUUAGAAGAGCCUCACUGCACACAGGAGGUGCUCAGCCAAGAUUUAUUGAACUGGAUGAAUGAAUCAAUGGCCGGGGGGGAGGAGGGGGAGGGGGAAGACCACACAGCACACAGAACGUUUACCUAACUUGAAAGGGGAAUUCUAGUUGCUGAGGAGGCUGGGAGGAGAUUCUGAUUCAGAUGGAUGGGGAAGGAGAGUGACUGAGAUAGGGUAGGAAUCUUAGCUAUUCAUUCUAUCCUCAGUCACCCUCCAUAUCCAAUAAUCAGUCACCAAGUCUGGUUCAUCAUCUUCCCUUGAUAGCUCACACCUUAUCACCUCCAAUCCAUCCCCACUUCCUUGGCCCUUGAGCAGGCCUGGUAUUUUCAAUAGUUCCCUAACUAAUCUGUCUCCAUUCUCUCCAUCACAAAUGCAUUCAUUCAUGUAUUCAUUCAUGCAAAAACUAUUUACUGGGUACCUGUUUUGUCUCAGGCAUCGUGCUUACUGCUGGGGAUAUACCACUAGCAAGAUAACCCCAGAACCACCCUUAUGGUGUUUACAGCUUAUUCAGAGACAAAACAAGCAAAUAUAAAACAGUGUGAGAAUUGAACAGCAGGAAAGCUACAGGCAUAAGAGCAUACAGCAUGAGCAUCUAACAUAAUCCAUUUCCACACUGGCUGGUCAGAAAGGGGUUUGUUAAAAUCACAUCUAAUGUGACGUCGCCCUUGCUCAAAAGUACUUCAUGGCUGCCCUCAGCCUCCAGCCCACAAUUCCUAAACCUGGCUGCACCCUACUCAUGUGCUUAUCUUUAUAAGCACUCAAGAUCCUGAGCCCCCCACCCCAACUAUGGAAAUUGACUUUUUAGAGGUUGGGGUCCAGGAUGUUCCAGGUGUUUCUGGUGCAAAGCCAGUCUGGGAACCACACUGUCUUAUGAGGCAAAUCUGCUCUUGCCAGGCUCCUACGACCCUCUUCAGGUCUGGUCAACUACCUCUCCAGCUUCAUUUUCUGCUGCUUUUCCUCAGCAGAAAACCUUAUGUUUCAGUAUUUCUGAAGUGCUUAACUCAUUCUUGUCUUCAGGUCUUUGUGCCUACUGUUGCCACUACCUGGAAAUUGCUUCCAUGUCCUCCUCAACUGGCUAAUUUCUGCCAGUUCCUCAAAACUCAGUUCAGGUGUCACCUUAUAGACUAGGAUGCUUCCCUGGACCUCUACCUAAGCUAGAUGCUCCUCCUUUAUCCAUGUUCCUAUCAGAGCAUUGAUCACACUUUUAUGAUUUGCCUCCCCAGAGAGACAGUAAGCUCCUCAAAGGCAGGAUAAAGAGUUGACUCGUGUUUGCAUCCCUGGUGCUCAACACCGUGAUUCCCAGAGAGAAGUGACCAAUUAAAGGUAGAGAUUGUCAUGUCAACUCCCUAGACCAAGGCUAUUGGGUCCAGAACAUAAGCAAGCCAAUCUAGUGUCCUUCACCCAGACCUAGGGAUUCCACUCUAAAUCCAGCUUGCUCUUGGAAACACACCAGGCUAUCUGCUCUGCUCUGGGCACACCCUUCGCUGAGCAGGUGUUGCCUUGUGAUAAUAGGAGGCAGUAUGGCACAAGGAAAAACAGUGGGCAAGCACAGAGGAGAUCCCAGCUGAAGUCUAGGUUUCACUGAACCAACUAGGAUCUCAGAUAAGUCAUCUCACAUCUCUGAUCCUCAGGAUUUAAAUCCUUUACAGCACUUGUGUUCCUAUGUACCAGGGCCUUAGCCCAUUGCAUCUCAUGCAAUGCUUUCUACCUUGUGAGGUAGGGAUUAGUUACCCAGAUUAUUACCCACACCUACUGAAUUAGAUUUCCAGGGGUGGGACCAGAGCAAGGAGCUCCAUAUCCUUUGGACAUGGGGGUGCAACAGGUAACUGCUGCUUUUCAUGGUAAGCCCUUCUGUACUAUUUUAUUUUCUAACCAGUGUAUAUAUUGCUUUGAUUUUUCAAAAUGGAAAAAGAAAAUGCUUCACAGGUGAUUCUGGUGCACAGCCACGGUUGAUAACCACCCUCACAGUGGCAAAAGCACAUGACUGAAUUGGAGCGUCUGGGAAUCAACCCUAGGUAAAUUUUCUCUUAUUCACACAUGCGUGUGCACACACACACACACACACACACACACAAUGCUGUGUAGUAUCCUAUAACAGCAAAAACAGAAAACAGUCUUAUUGUCCAUCAUAAGAGAAAUGGGUAAAUAAAAUGAGGCAGAGUCACAUCAUGACAAUCUAUGUAACAAUUACAAAGGAUGAACUAUAUCUACAUUUAGCAACAUGCAUAGAUCUCUAAAACAUUGCUAAGCAAAGAAAGCAAACUGCAGAAUGAUUCAAUAUACCAUCUGCAUUGAACACAAUGUUUUCAAUGAACUC
ensembl:lncRNA